CAGCAGCCGCGGUAAUUCCAGCUCCAAUAGCGUAUAUUAAAGUUGUUGCAGUUAAAAAGCUCGUAGUUGAAUUUCGAGAUCAAAAUUGUUGGUCGUGCCUCGGUACGUACUGGCAUUAUUGAUUUCUCCUUUCUGAAGAACCUUGAUGUCAUUAAUUUGGUGUCUUGGGGAAUCAGGACCGUUACUUUGAAAAAAUUGAGUGUUUAAAGCAGGCUCACGCUUGAAUACAUUAGCAUGGAAUAAUGAAAUAGGACGUUUGAUUCUAUUUUGUUGGUUUCUAGGAUCGACGUAAUGAUUAAUAGGGAUAGUUGGGGGCAUUAGUAUUCAAUUGUCAGAGGUGAAAUUCUUGGAUUUAUUGAAGACUAACUACUGCGAAAGCAAUUUGCCAAG
rnacentral:rRNA from 1 species